GCGAUUCGCCCUUCGGGGUGCCCAGGCGCGAAAACUUCACAAUGGGAGAAAUCCCGAUGAGGGAAUUCCAAGUGCUAGCACUAUGUGUUAGUUGUUCUUUUGUCUAAAAAACAGAAGAAGUAAGGGCCGGGUAAGACGGGUGCCAGCCGCCGCGGUAAUACCCGCGGCCCGAGUGGUGGUCGAUAUUAUUGAGCCUAAAACGUCCGUAGCCGGUCUUGUAAAUCCUUGGGUAAAUCGGCCAGCUUAACUGUCCGAAGUCCGGGGAGACUGCAAGACUUGGGAUCGGGAGAGGUCAGAGGUACUUCUGGGGUAGGGGUAAAAUCCUGUAAUCCUGGAAGGACCACCGGUGGCGAAGGCGUCUGACUAGAACGAAUUCGACGGUGAGGGACGAAGCCCUGGGGCGCAAACGGGAUUAGAUACCCCGGUAGUCCAGGGUGUAAACGCUGCGGGCUUGGUGUUGGGGGUCCUUUGUGGGCGCCCAGUGCCGGAGAGAAGUUGUUAAGCCUGCUGCUUGGGGAGUACGUCCGCAAGGAUGAAACUUAAAGGAAUUGGCGGGGGAGCAC
rnacentral:rRNA from 1 species